rnacentral:misc_RNA from 1 species
AGGUGAACCUGCGGAAGGAUCAUUACCGAAUUCUGGCCCUUCGAGGUAGAUCUCCCCCCCUUUGUAUCCUAUACCUGUGUGGGGAUGGGGGGACGUCUACUCCCUGUCUUCGGCUGGUUGAUGCCCGCCAGAGAACCCUUGAGCCUGUCUUAUUAGUGUCCUCUGAGAAAAAUAUUUAAUAUUUAAAACUUUAAACUACGGAUCUCUUGGCUCUGG